UACGUAGGGGGCAAGCGUUGUCCGGAAUCAUUGGGCGUAAAGCGUGCGCAGGCGGUUUGUUAAGACAGAUGUGAAAUCCCCGGGCUUAACCUGGGAACUGCAUUUGUGACUGGCAAGCUAGAGUAUGGCAGAGGGGGGUAGAAUUCCACGUGUAGCAGUGAAAUGCGUAGAGAUGUGGAGGAAUACCGAUGGCGAAGGCAGCCCCCUGGGCCAAUACUGACGCUCAUGCACGAAAGCGUUGGGAGCAAACAGG
rnacentral:rRNA from 1 species